AUGAAUGUGCAGACCAGUCACUUGGAACUAACAAGAGUGCUCUUUGACCAUUGCCCGUCUAUGAAUUUCACAAUCUGUCCUGCCAAUGAUUUUGAUUUUGGUCAUUGGUGGCAAAUCUUAUCCCUUGGCUGGCAUCUAGGACUUGUGCCUUCAUUUUACGUUUAUUGCGCUGAUUCACUGAUCUCUACGGUUGUUGGCAUCUAUGGACCAACUGUUCCCUUCAUUCCCUACUUUCCUCAACAAUGCGCAUUUAUGUGCUGCAUUACUCCGUCUAGCUUUGGGUUGAAAUGGGAGCUCCAGCCUUCCAAUCUUUUUUGUUUUCUUUCAUGCACCAAACAGCUAAUGGUUGUAUUAACUUGA
rnacentral:rRNA from 1 species